AUGCUGCGCUUUGGUCCCCUCUCUACGAUAGCCGUUACAGAACUACCCACCACCAAAGGACCAAGCAGCAUGAUCAGGAAUGGACCUGGGAAGACAUUCUGGACGGGAAAGGACCUGGGAGUCAGGCUGGGGAGUAUUGCCGCCCGAGGGAGGAGAUUGAGGCAGCAAAAGCAGAGCGGCGUUAUUAUGAGGCGCUAUACCAACCACGAGGCAAGUGUGAGAGACAGCCCCCAAAAAUGUUUUUGGGGGGGUCACACGGGGAGAUUGGCAGAGUCAGGUUGGAGACCUGAGCCAACUCCCCGUGCUUACCAUGGGGGGCGAGUGAUCGAGCAAGCACCGUGUUAUGCGGGGAUGCGCACUGUGUUGCCAGUGCACAGCUACAGCCCGGUGCGCUCGGUGCAAGCUUCCCACAGUUGCCGUGCUAGAGUUAGCAUUCAUCCAGGAAGGAUUGUGCCUGCUCAGCGUUUCUGGUCUCCGGUGCGUCUCUUCGGCCCAGGUUAUCCUGCGCCAGCUCAACGCACGGUACUCCCAGUUCGCCAGCACAAACCUGUGCGACCUGUUACAACGCCCCACGCUUGCCGGGCUACGGGGGUUAUCCAGCCAGGACGGGUUGUGCCAGCCAUAAGCUCCAGACCUCCAGUGCGCCUCCACGGCCCAGUAUACCCUGUGCCUGCUCUGCUCACCCGGCCUCCAGCGACGUUCCCUAGUCCAGAACUCUCAGCGACGUUCCCUAGUCCGGUGAGACCUAUUCCAGCUCCACAAAAGAAGCCUCCAGUGAUGAUCUAUGGUCCGAAGCCUUCAGUGAUGAUCCAUGGCACGAAGCCUCCAGUGAUGAUCCAUGGCCCGGAGCCUGUAGGGAUGAUCCAUGGCACGAAGCCCCCAGAGAUAAUCCAUGGCCCGGAGCCUGUAGGCAUAAUCCAUGGCAAGAAGCCUGUAGGGAUGAUCCAUGGCCCGGAGCCUGUAGAGAUGAUCCAUGGCACGAAGCCUCCAGUGAUGAUCCAUGGUACAAAGCCUCCAGUGAUGAUCCAUGGUGCGGAACCUGUAGUGAUGAUCCAUGGCACGGAACCUCCAGCGUCGCUCCCCGGUCCGGAGCCUCCAGCGACGCUGCCCAGUCCGGAGCCUCCAACGACGCUGCCCAGUCCGGAGCCUCCAGCGGCGGCCUGCAGCCCGGAGUCUUCAGCGGCUGCCUGCAGCCCGGAGUCUUCAGCGGCGGCCUGCAGCCCGGACUCUGGCAUAAAGUGA
rnacentral:lncRNA from 8 species